rnacentral:tRNA from 1 species
GGAGGGGCCAUGGCUCAGUGAGUUCAGCAUCUGUUUUGUAUGCAGAAGGUCCCAGGUUCAACCCCUGACUUCUCUA